AAAGCAAAUCUGAAUCCAGAUUGCUGGUAUAGAAAUCAGACUACAGACCUGGUGGCUAGUGUAGAAAAUAUACCAGUAAUAGUGGCACCGGCCCUGCUUCCUGCUAUAGAAUACAGACCCAACCCGUAGAGAAGAACCACCAACAUACAAGAGUGCAGAGCCUACCCUCCAAGGCAAGUUAGAACCCUCCUGCUCUACCCAAUCCUUCACCUCCCUGUGAGUUACCAUAAUAGCUUUACCAAAUUGUGAAAGACAAAACUGCAACCAUGGCACACUGGAAACCCAAAUGUAGCUGCAGCUGAACGGCUUGACAUCCUCAAUAAGAUGGCUUACAUGUAUCAGACUGAUGGCUUAAAUAUCUUGUAAACACGCAGAAUGAGCAUGUUGGUCUACUAAAGCAUCAAAAUGACUUUUGACAAAGCUGCAUUAAUGAACACCAAUGCUAAAGGUAUGCUAUUCAUCUUGGAAGAAAUAACUAGAGCUCAACAUCCCAACCACAAGUUGCCCAGAGUGACACACCUGCCAAUGAGGAGCCACAAGCACAGGGAGAAGAUUCUCCUCAGCAGAUCCAUAAUCAGAGGCAUACUCAAGGGCCUGGUGGCAAACAUUUCAGAAGGAGUUCUGAGUUUUGUUUUCUUUUAAUAAUUAAUAAGACAUGAUUGUUACAUAA